rnacentral:rRNA from 1 species
UACGUAGGGAGCAAGCGUUGUCCGGAAUCAUUGGGCGUAAAGGGUGUGUAGGUGGCGCCGUAAGUCGGGUGUGAAAUUUCGGAGCUUAACUCCGAAACUGCAUUCGAUACUGCGGUGCUUGAGGACUGGAGAGGAGACUGGAAUUCAUGGUGUAGCAGUGAAAUGCGUAGAGAUCAUGAGGAAGACCAGUGGCGAAGGCGGGUCUCUGGACAGUUCCUGACACUGAGACACGAAGGCCAGGGGAGCAAACGGG